GACGAACGCUGGCGGCGUGCCUAAUACAUGCAAGUUGAGCGAUGAAGAUUGGUGCUUGCACCAAUUUGAAGAGCAGCGAACGGGUGAGUAACGCGUGGGGAAUCUGCCUUUGAGCGGGGGACAACAUUUGGAAACGAAUGCUAAUACCGCAUAACAACUUUAAACAUAAGUUUUAAGUUUGAAAGAUGCAAUUGCAUCACUCAAAGAUGAUCCCGCGUUGUAUUAGCUAGUUGGUGAGGUAAAGGCUCACCAAGGCGAUGAUACAUAGCCGACCUGAGAGGGUGAUCGGCCACAUUGGGACUGAGACACGGCCCAAACUCCUACGGGAGGCAGCAGUAGGGAAUCUUCGGCAAUGGACGAAAGUCUGACCGAGCAACGCCGCGUGAGUGCAGAAGGUUUUCGGAUCGUAAAACUCUGUUGGUAGAGAAGAACGUUUGUGAGAGUGGAAAGCUCAUCAAGUGACGGUAACUACACAGAAAGGGACGGCUAACUACGUG
rnacentral:rRNA from 1 species